rnacentral:rRNA from 1 species
AACGAACGCUGGCGGCAGGCUUAACACAUGCAAGUCGAACGCUCGUAGCAAUACGGGAGUGGCGGACGGGUGAGUAACGCGUGGGAACGUGCCCUGAGGUACGGAAUAACUGCGGGAAACUGCAGCUAAUACCGUAUGAGCCCCGCAAGGGGGAAAGAUUUAUCGCCUUGGGAGCGGCCCGCGUCGGAUUAGCUAGUUGGUGGGGUAACGGCCUACCAAGGCUUCGAUCCGUAGCUGGUCUGAGAGGACGAUCAGCCACACUGGGACUGAGACACGGCCCAGACUCCUACGGGAGGCAGCAGUGGGGAAUCUUGCGCAAUGGGGGCAACCCUGACGCAGCCAUGCCGCGUGAAUGAUGAAGGCCUUAGGGUUGUAAAGUUCUUUUGCCCGUGACGAUGAUGACGGUAACGGGAGAAUAAGCUCCGGCUAACUUCGUGCCAGCAGCCGCGGUAAU